rnacentral:rRNA from 1 species
CCCGUUGUACACACCGCCCGUCACACCAUGGGAGUGGGCUGCACCAGAAGUAGAUAGUCUAACCGUAAGGGGACGUUACCACGGUGUGGUUCAUGACUGGGGUG